rnacentral:rRNA from 1 species
CCUACGGGAGGCAGCAGUGAGGAAUAUUGGUCAAUGGGCGCGAGCCUGAACCAGCCAAGUAGCGUGAAGGAUGACUGCCCUACGGGUUGUAAACUUCUUUUAUAAGGGAAUAAAGUGAGGCACGUGUGCCCUUUUGUAUGUACCUUAUGAAUAAGGAUCGGCUAACUCCGUGCCAGCAGCCGCGGUAAUACGGAGGAUCCGAGCGUUAUCCGGAUUUAUUGGGUUUAAAGGGAGCGUAGGUGGGUUGUUAAGUCAGUUGUGAAAGUUUGCGGCUUAACCGUAAAAUUGCAGUUGAUACUGGCAGUCUUGAGUACAGGAGAGGUGGGCGGAAUGCGUGGUGUAGCGGUGAAAUGCUUAGAUAUCGCGAAGAACUCCGAUUGCGAAGGCAGCAUGCUGGACUGCAACUGACAUUGAGGCUCGAAAGUGUGGGUAUCAAACAGGAUUAGAUACCCUGGUAGUC